AGACUUGCUCUUAUGANUUACGGCGGACGGGUGAGUAACACGUGGGUACCUGCCCAUAAGACUGGGAUAACUCCGGGAAACCGGGGCUAAUACCGGAUAACAUUUUGAACUGCAUGGUUCGAAAUUGAAAGGCGGCUUCGGCUGUCACUUAUGGAUGGACCCGCGUCGCAUUAGCUAGUUGGUGAGGUAACGGCUCACCAAGGCAACGAUGCGUAGCCGACCUGAGAGGGUGAUCGGCCACACUGGGACUGAGACACGGCCCAGACUCCUACGGGAGGCAGCAGUAGGGAAUCUUCCGCAAUGGACGAAAGUCUGACGGAGCAACGCCGCGUGAGUGAUGAAGGCUUUCGGGUCGUAAAACUCUGUUGUUAGGGAAGAACAAGUGCUAGUUGAAUAAGCUGGCACCUUGACGGUACCUAACCAGAAAGCCACGGCUAACUACGUGCCAGCAGCCGCGGUAAUACGUAGGGGG
rnacentral:rRNA from 1 species